GCCGGGCAGCGUCGGCGAGGCGCCGGCCUGACCCAAGCGUCCUCGGAGUCUGGCCCGAGCUAGCCGCGCGCCUGAGAAGCAGCCCCAUCUCUGAGCCCGUCUGCCCUCGGAAGGAACAGCCCUGGCAGGGGGCGGGCACGGCAGAAGGGACGCCAGCGACCCCCCCAGGAAUGAGGUGAGGCCACGCGGCAGAUGUAGUUUUACCGGAGCUGGAAGAACUCUUCGCGGGAUCCCGGAAGUCACUGCAGGAAGUCACUGCACUUCCCUGUGCCUCCGUUUUCUCAUUGCAAACUGGGAAUGAGAAGUUGGCUACUGUGCUGACAGCCCUGGCAAUGAAAGAAUCGCAGUUUAUGUCAGAGUUCGCAAAGGGCAAGGCUGGAAUUUCCAUUUCCACUCUUGAACGGGACUCUGUGUCACAAUAUCUGUUAGAGGCGUUCAAAAUUGGCCGCAAGAUCAGUCGUUAUUGCUGGUCAAAAGCCACAGCCCUACCUGAGGCGUUGAGAGAUGUGAACGCCAAUGAUUUUUCUUUUCCUGACUCGCUAAAUACCAAGAAAAAGCAACUUCCCCAAAAACAUAGAAACAGAAAGUACUCUUGGAUGAACGCAGAGAAUUGGUUCCAGCCUACAGUUAGAGAUGGGAAGGCGCCCAGAACCAUCUAGUACUUCUACUCCUCACCCGCCACCCGGACCUUCACACCCACCAUUUUACAAAUAAGGAAACAGAGCCACAAAGGCUGUGAGAGGAUGUGCCUGAGGUCGUACGACUUGAGAAGGGUGGCCAAGGACUCUGGUCUCCCCUGUCCUUACUUUUUCCACCACAAAGCAAGGAGAAGGGGGAAGAUGGAGACAGCCCAGACGUGGCCAAGUAGGGAAGAAGGGGAAGCAGGAAGCAGGCUCUGGAAGCAGGAACUGAGUAGUGAGAAUGACAUGGCGUGUGCCAGAUUGACAUGGUGGCUUCUGAGAGCACUUUGAAAGCUACAGAGAGUGCUAGAGAAGUUAUGGCAUCCUUGCCUUCUUCCAUGUCUUUGGUGUUCCUAAAACUGAAGGUGGAGGAAAACCGAAACAGAGGUGCCCAUUAGGGUUCACUACCAGGGAGCUGAGCGUCCCAUGAAGACCACCUGGUCCCAUCCCACAUCAAAAGUGGACAUUCUCUUUCUCCACCAGCAGGUGUGACCCAGGUGUUAAGCUUGCCUGUUAUCCACCCCCACCCCACCCCUACUGUCCCACUCAGCUCCACCUGUGUCUCCCUGUCCCAAGAGGGCAGACCAACUGGGAGAUAUGAUCAGCACCUGACACCUAUUAUCCAGGACUUAGAACUGCAGCCACCCAGGACUGGAGCAGGGGUCAGACACUCAAAUGUCUCCAAGAGCCUAACAGCUCAGACUCAGGGACAGAACUGGGGAGAUGGUGUUCAUUUACUAGAUUACGGCAUUUCACAAUAGUAUUGUUGAUGGUCUGUGCCUCCUGAAACAAACCCUAUUGACAUUUCAGUCUUUUUUUUUUUUCUUCCAGUUCAGUAAGGUUUUCUUUCCCCUACACAUCUUUUCCAUAUUCUUCUUAUGAGUUUUUUAUCUGGUGGCAUCUCACAUUGUAUCCUUUCAACAGGCACACUUUGUGUAUUAAACAUUAUAGGAAUAUUCUUCACUUCUGCCAAGAAAUAUGCAUGCUCCCAUGUCUCCCGAAGCACAUCUCCCUCUUGGCCCCUUUUAUUUUUCCACAUUUGCUAGAGACAUGAUUACAAGACAUAUUUCACUUUUACGCAAUUCUGUUAUAAGAAAAACUACUGCACAAAUACAGAACAUGGCAACCGACCCUUGACCUUGAUGUCUGGGGACAAUACAGUAUGGAGACAAUAGAGUGUGGAAAGGAUGCAAAUGAGGAGACCUCUAAAAUACCCCCCACUGAGGGGGGCAACUUCAGCUCACUGUGAUCAUGUGAGAAUGCAGGGCUAGUGCGAUCAGAUUUUAUAAUUUGUAAAGAGAAACCAAAAACUGGAACUCUUAAUCUGAAAUCUCCUGAUUUUUAAAUGCUGGAAACUAAUUCAAAACAGUAUUUUAAACUGCUUUGUAGGCCAAACCAGACAUGACCUACUGACUUUCAGUUUAUGACAUCUGUUCUAUAUUAUACAGGUGGGAGCUGCACCAGUAAGACCUGAGUUAUUCCCGUUAGUGUGAGCUAAUUUGUUCCUACUGGCUCAGGAGAUACAGUUUACACAAGGGGCCGGUGCAGGGGGCUGUCAAUGUUAAGAGUUUAUUAAUAUUGUUCAUCAUAUGAAUAGGACAGAGGAGAAAAACCAUAUAAUUAUCCUAAUGUGAUGCGACCUGAUGAAAACUUAGUGACUGCGAGUAAAAAGACUUUUUCAAGAUGAUAAAUGUGUUUAUUCCAAUUCAACAGAUAGUGUGAUAUCUAGUGAUGACCUGGAAUGGAUAAUAUAGUCCUUAAUAACAGGCAAUCCUAUGAAAACGAGGAGCAAAACAAGAAUGUCACACUGUGAAUAGUGUCAACCAUAUUCUGAAAUUCAAGGAAAAACAAUGAGAAGAAAAAUAAAUGAGACAUAAACUUGGGGAGGAAGAGUCAAGCUUACUAUUACUUACAAAAGAUAUGAUUGUCUAGCUGAGAAACACUGGCUAAUGGACUGAGGAACAUUUGGAACUUAUGGGAGAGCAGAGUAAAGUAGCUGGACACAAAAAUAAAUAUAUGACAUUCAGUAGUUUUCUGUACACAGCAUUGACCAAAUCGAAAAGAGAGCUCGUUCAUCCCAGCAGCAAAAAAGCCUGAGAAUAGGAAAUUCAAGGGACCCAGAAUAGCCCAAACAAUCUUGAAAAAGAAGAAAAAAGUUGGAGGACUCAAGCUCCCUGAUUUCAAAACUUACCACAAAGCUACAGAUAUAUUUAUAUAUCAGUGGAAUAAAAUCGUAAGUCUGGAAAUAAACUCUCACAUUUACAAUCAAUUUUUGAUGAGGGUGCCAAAACAAUUCAAAGGGGGAAAGAAUUGUUUUUUCAAAAAUGGUGCUAAGGCAAUUGGAUACCCAUAUCCAAAAAAAAAAAAGAGAAGAAGAGAAAGAAAAAAAAGCAAAGAAUGAAAGAAAGAAACUGAAUCCCUACUUCACACUUCACAUGGAAAUUAACUCAAAAUGAAUCAAAGACCUGAAUGUAAGAGUUAAAACAAUAAAACUCUUAUAAGAAAACAUAGGUGUAAAUCUUCAUCACCUUGGACCAGGCAAUGGUUUUUAAGAUAUGACAUCAAAAGCACAAACAACCAAAGAAAAAAACAGAUAAGGUGGACAUUAUCAAAAUUUAAAACUUUUGUGCUUCAAGGACACCAUCAAGAAACAAAAGACGGGGACUUCCCUGGUGGCACAGUGGAUAAGACUCCCUGCUCCCAAUGCAGGGGGCCCAAGUUAGAUCCCUGGUCAGGGAACUAGAUCCCACAUGCAUGCCACAACUAAGGAGCCCAUGUGCCAUAACUAAGGAGCUGGUGAGCCACAACUAAGGAGCCCUGGAGCUGCAACUAAGGAGCCUGCCUGCUGCAACUAAGACCUGGUGCAACCAAAUAAAUAAAUAAAUAUUUAAAAAAAAAGAAACAAAAGACAACUCACAGAAUGGGAGAAAAUUUUUGCAAAUCGUAUAUAUGAUAAGAGACUUUAAUCUAGAAUAUAUAAAGAACUCCUAUAAAUCAAUAAUAAAAAAAACAAUUGAAAAAUGAGCAACGGAUAAGAAUAGAUAUUCUCCAAAGAAGAUAUAUAAAUGACCAACAAGCAUGUGAAAAUUGCUCAACAUCAUUAGUCAUCAGAGAAAGGCAAAUCAAAACCACAGUGGAAACACCACUUCACACCCAUCAAAAAGAAAGACUAUAACAAAUGUUGACAGGAAUGUGGAGAAUUUGGAACCCUCAUACCUACACUGCUGGUGGGGAUGUAAAAUGGUGCAGAUGCUUUGGAAAACAGUCUGACAAUUCCUCAAAAGGUAAGCUACCAUAUGAUCCAGCAAUUCCACGCCUGGGUAUAUACCAAAGGAAAGUGAAAACGUGCACACGAAAACAUAUGUACAAACAUCUAUAGCAGCAUUAUUUAUUAGCCAAAAGGUGGAAGCAACACAAAUGUCUAUCAGCUGAUGAAUGGAUAAAUAAAAUGUUGCAUAUUCACAAAGUGGAAUAUUAUUUGACCAUAAGGAGAUGAACCUUGAGAACAUGCUAGGUGAAAGAAGCCAGCUAUCAAGGAGCACAUUCUGAAUGGUUUCAUGUAUAUGAAAUGUUCAGAACAGGCAAAUCCGUGGAGACAAGGCAAAUUGGUGGUUGCCUAGUACAGGGAUAUUGGAGGAAAAUGAGCGAGAGAAUGCUAACGGGUAUGGGAUUUCUUUGUUGUGGUGGAAAAAUGUUUAAAAAUUGACCGCAAUGAUGAUUGCACAACUCUGAAUAUACUAAAAACUGUUGAAUUGUACACUUUAAAUGGGUGAAUUGUAUGGUAUGUGAAUUAUAUUUCAAUAAAGCUGUUAUUUUUUUAAAA